rnacentral:rRNA from 1 species
AUGGAAUACUACGAUUACGCAGAUGAAAGCGGGCCAGCAUGGAUUGGGAUGAAGCGAGGCCACGGGCGGUCGGACGGCAAGCUCGACGCCGCGGUGACGGAGAAGCGGCAGAAAUGCGACGACAGUAGUUGGAAGGCCGUCGCCGCGUAUGGACCGGUGGUGGGGACGAAGCGAGCCUUGGAACGAUCCGAGGAUUCAUUCGACUUGCCGAUAGAUAAAAGGUACAAGUGCAACUACUGGGAGGACCCUUCUUACGCGCUGAUCCUGGAGCUAAGCGGGGGAAGUAAAGCCAUGACCGCCGCUCUCAUCAAUCAGAGCCAGCGCACCGUCAAAGAGCUCGACGACUGGUGCGACGAGCUUCGGGCGGCGCGCAAAAGCAAGAUGUAA